GUUAAUUUAGCAAGAAAAUAAGCUGCAAUAGAGAAAUUGAUUGGAACUUUAAAGACAGAGUUGUAGUGUACAUACAAGUUCACAAGACACUGAUGUCACUGUGAGAUCUCCUUAAGGAUCUUACUGCCAUGAUAAUUGCUUGUAUGACGAUGAUCUUUCAGCAUCCCAACUACCUUCAGGUUCCUUCCUCUUUAUUCCUACACCUGGCAUUUGGUACAUUCUUGUUUGCUCCUCCACAAAGGCUGGUGGAGGUGUCACCACAUUUGGUCUGCUCAAUAAAGCUAAUCGUUCAUCCUUCCCUUCUACAUCUAUACUUCCAGGGCCAGAAUUAAGAUCAAGCCCCUGUCUUCUCCAUUUCCAAUUGCUGUCAUGUCCAUCCCUGCUGGUACCUUCAGUAAGGUUCAUUGCAUACUGCCUUGCAUGCUGGACAGGUAAAACACCUGUUGACCCAACAUGUGAUGGAACAAUGGUUGGAAAAUAUGGAACUCCUGCAGGUGCAGCAUUGGCAUAUGAUGUAGAUCCCAUGGGAAACCCUGUAGUUGGAAGGUGAACACUUGGAGUGAAAGGAAAUCCUGCAUAUUGAUAUGCAGGAGAGUGAAACACCAUGGUGGGUGAUGUGGAAAUAACUGGAGCCCUGCAGAAAUCACUUCUAAACUGGCCACCAUCUGCAGCAGGCGCAAUGAACCUCUGGGUUCCAGGUGCUGUAUCAAUUGGGUAAGGCUGUUCUGCUCUAGCAGGCAAAAAUGACUGUACAGCUACAGGAGCACAUGAGUUGGCAGACCCAAACCAUGGUGACAUGUUGCUCAUUUCAGCACUGCUCAUUCUAACACCAGGAACUUGAGGUAGGAACGGUAUACUGCUAGAACUUUUAGACGAUAGGCUCCUUUGUGCAAGUUCUGCACUGGCUUCAUCAAGGCAUGGCCCAUUAUUAAGAUCAAAGAAGUUUCUCGAGCUAUUUGUACCAGUAUUCGAGGGAACUCCUGGCAAAGGUCUUGCUGGCAACAACGUGACUUCAAUUCUGUGGGAAGCAUUUGACAUAAAUUGGCUAUUCUCUGCAACUUCAUCAGCCCUAUUCAAAUCAAGUUCAAUGCCAGCACUUUGUACACGACCAUUGAGACUUCUGCUGUUGCCAGAUUCAGAACCAAUUGUCUGAGCAGAACUCUGUGAGAUAUCAUCCUCGAGAACCUGGUCAUCUGCUACGUUCAGAUCAAUGUCAAACGCUGGGCGAGACUGCUUGCCUGCAUUAUCAGAUACUGCAGUAUCAGGUGCAGUGAGAAACAUCCCCAAAACCUUUCGUGGUUCCGCCGGGCGAAAUGCACUUGUAGCUGCCGAGCCUUUCCAUCCAGCAUCAGGCUUCACUCUUAGUAGGUUCUCAGGAGGAACAAAAGGUCCUUUAGCUGGAGCAGCUACUGUAAUUGCGGCAGGCAGACCACUUGAAAUAGGUGAGACGAAUGGAGAAAGACCAGGUAAAUGAAUUGAAGAAGAGCAUAUAACAGGAAAAGUAGCUGGUCCAGAGUGAUUCCCUUCAUCCCCAAGUUCAUUCAAAUCAAAAUCAAGCUUAGCUGUACCAUUGGACUUGGCCUUGGCAGCUACAGAAGAACCCUCAUCUGACGAGACAAGGUCCUCUUUUCCACCCACAUCAUCACACAGUUUCUUUGAACUUUGCCUUGCACUAUGCUCAUUAUCCGGAGAUGUCAGAGCUCGAGGUUUUACAUGACUACUGAGUUCACUUGAACUGCCUUUUGAUUCUUCAACCAUACCAUUCCCAUUUGCUGGACCAGGGGGCAAUACUGCCGGCAGAACUAGUCUGGUAACAUCAGCUGAAGUGGAACAAGGUUGUUCCUUCUUCUCAUCCUCUUUUGGCACUUUAACAACCAGACCAUCAGCAUUUUUUACGUCCUCAUUCGAAGAUAACAAUGAAGGCUUCGAAACAAAUUUACCAGCCGUACUGUCAGUAGAUCUAUCAUUGAUCUUUAAAUGAUCUGGUAGAACAAGAAGAUGCUUCUGAUCAGAACUAGAAACAGAACCAUCUUCAACUUUUUCACGGACAGUUACUGCAUUCCUAGGUUCACUUACAGAUGAACUCCUACUGAACUGUGUAUCAAUCUUAAUAUCAGCUGGUUGUCUGACACUUGACUUCUGAUCACCACCACCAAGUGAAUCGACUGAAGAGGGUAUAUGAGAACAUUUGUUUGCACACUCAACUUCAUGGCUUCCAGUAUUAGCUGAAGAUUCAACGGCUUUAGAAUCAAUUCCAGGCAAAGGAGAUGGCCUAGUAGAUGUUGCGCCUUUACUGCCAUGUGACGAUGAGUUAGUUCCAGAGUCCCUAAGGUGUUGUUCUUCCUUUGCAACAAAAGAAACAUUGCUUUUGUCUUCUUUCUCAGAUAUGUCCUUCUCAACGUCAUCUGACGGCCCUGAGUGCUGUGACGGGCCCGCAUCACAUUCUACUUCUAGCUUCCCAAUACUUUUACCUUCACAGCCGAGUUCAUUUACAGGUGGUUUUCCAGGUGAAGUGGAUGGCAUAACCAAUUCAGAUCUAGAUACUUCUCCGGCAACACUGGCAAGAAGAUUCAUUGCUGUAUCAUCUCCAGCUUGCAUGGAAUGACUAGCUUCAGAAUACUUGAUUUCAAUCAAAGCAUUCAAAGGGUUGAACGAGUUCCUCACCGUGGUUUCACCUAUGCAGAUGUCUUUUUCAUUCACAUAUAGUGAACAUGGACCUUGUGAUGCAGAUGCAUCCUUACCAGCUUCUUCAGCUGUCCUGCUGCAAUCACCAUCCAACACACCACAAGAUGAUUUAUCACCUUCCUCCGAACCUGUAGCUCCUUCAAUAUGAUUGCUUCGUGCAGGCUCAGCAUUAGCAUCAGAACCUAAAUGAGGUCGAGAAUGUUCAGUCUUCAUUUUCACUCUACGGUCAUUCUGUUCAUGCUUAUCUGCAAGCACGGGAGAUGAAGCUCUACUUCCAGAAAUUGAUGGGUCCUCACAGGAGGCCCCAAUUGUGCUCCUACCAGGGCUACGACCUGGAUUUGGAAACCGAACAAUCAAUCUGUGACUAUUGACAUGAUCUGACAGUGUCUCACCUCCUUUCUCACAUGCCAUACCAGAUUGUGAAGAUCUUUCCUGCAAUAAAGAGCGGUCAAGUGGACUGGAUCUUCCCAAAGCAGCUUCCUUCUGGAAUCCAACUUCCUUCUUCACAAGCCCAUUGUUUGACCUCCGAUGGCCACGUGCAGAGCUUCCAGAGAUUUUACUGGCAUUAGCAGAAGCAGCAGUUGACCUCCGUGCGUCGUCCUUCAUAGGACCAACUGUUUUUCCAUGAUCACUAGAGCAUGACUGACUGUUAUUAAGUGAUUGGCUUGAACUGCAACUUUUCUCCUCUUUCACUGAAGGAAAAUCAGGGCCACAGGUCCCACCAGCUGAAUUGCAGGGUGGAUCCUUCAAGUUGGUUGUAACAUUUGCUGGUUGAAUGUGUUGCAAUUUUGAAGAGGCAGACGUGAAAGGAUUUGACUUCGCAGCAGCAUCAGCAGUACCAGGUUUAGCACUCAAAGCCUUUGGUGAAGAAAGUUGAGACAGCGGAUUUCUUGGACUGGGUUCACUUGAGCCACUUCGUCCAUUUCCUGCACUGGAAAUUUCUGGAAACACCGCUUUCCCAGACCAGGAAAUAGCUGGACCUGAUAGUACAGGUUUUGCAUCAGUCGACUUCAUUUCAGCAUCAACACGUUUCUUCCAGUUCUCAACAAGACACUUAGCCUUUUUCUGUAUCUCCGGAUUUUUAUGGCUACGCAGAUGAUUUACAGAUUUCCCAAUACUGCAACUUUGUAAGGCGGUUAGACUGAUAGGCAAUUUUGCUAGUGCACGAAGCAGGGCCAGUAUAAGAUCUUCAAUAGGCUUAUCAGUAUCUUUAGGACUACCCCCUUCACCAGACUUCCCUUUGUGAGUCUCUUGAAGCCAAUCAUUCAAGACAGGAAGACCCCUUAGUUGCAUAAAUCUGUUUAGGCAAUCAGGACUUUCUGUAGCUGCGAUAAUAUCUGCAAGCCUUACUCGAUCGGCAAAGUCCAUUUUCCGUUCAGUUUGAUCGUGAUGGAUGAAAUGAACUAGCUUCUCGACUGCUUCAGCAUGAGGAAGUCCACUCUUUUCUGUUAUUUUUGCGAUUACCAACUUCAUAUUGUCCCCCUUAAAGUUUCCAGGCUCAGUGUCAUCGUCCUUAAGGAGGCAAUCACGGUCUCGCUUAGCUGGAUCAAUUCCUUGCUCAACUCUGUCCCUCUUCUUCCCUUUGGAUGGACCACAAUUUUGUGCACCAUCUGAACUAGCCUUCAACUGCUGGGAAGCUGAUGGAACAUUUAGCCGUUUAGGUGAGUGACCACCAGACUGCACUGCAGCAUGCAUUUCUAGCCUCGUUCUGUAUAGGAGCCGAUUUACUUCUUCCUGUCGUUCCUGGCCAUAAGUUGUGCACAUGAAGUGGAGAAUAUAAUAGAAAGAUAAAAAGAAGGUAAGUGUAGAACUUACGUCGAUAUAAUCCCUGUCGGUAAGCCACCAUAAACACUUGUUAUCAAUAUCAUACACACGCCAACAUGCAAAUGAAGAAAUUCCAGAUGACAGCUCAGCACCUUUACGUAAAAAGGCAACUUUACAAGGAUGGAGCAGUGAGACCGCAGAUGUUUCGUCCUGGUGGAAAGAGAAGAAGAUCUCGUUUGGAGCAGCGUUCAGCUGUAUGCCCUUGUUGAGCUCAACGUCGGCAGGUCUAUAAAGCCAACUUACACGUAACUUGGGAUAGCCUCCUUGCUGUUUCUCAAUCAAACGUAUCAAUCCAACGAAAGGAGGAACAUCAACAGCACGGAAAAGAGCACAAUCGCCGACACGGAUCUCCCGUCCGUCCUGAAAAAUAAAUAUUAUUAUUUAUUUGUGGGACAAAAUAAUAUAAGAACAACAAGCAUAGUUUAAUACUCCAGAAAACAUGGACUGAAGAAGUAUAGCCUGGCUACAUUGUAUAAACAACAAGAGAGAGAACAAAACAUAACUGAACUGAUAAAGCACAAAAUAAUCAAGUUAUGUGCUUUUGCCAAAUCAUUCAUUCAACAGGGUCGGCUGCGGAAACUUCACAAUUAUUGCACAAGCACAAGACUAGCAAUGAACAGCUUUAUUUGUUUCAGACGUAACUAAUUUACUUCUAUUUUAGUUUUAUAAAAUGUUCAUAAAAACCAAUGAACUGAUCUGUAUUGACAUGUAAGCUCAAUAGAAAUAGACGUGCAGUGCAGCCCAUGUGGUGGCCCAAUGUAAGCCAGAUUGCACCUGCCAGCGGCACACACAGCUAUCUAGGGUCUCCUCCACAACUUGUCUCAACCAGAGACGCUGCGCAGGAUGCUGCUGAUCUUUGUUGCCGAUUUGCCACAUGUCCUCGCCAUUGUUUUUAUUAUAUAUAUAAUAUAUAUGUGCUGUUAAUGUGCUAAUUUGUAUUGCCAAGUGCCCUAGUUAGAUAUUACAUGCAUUCACAUAGGAGAAAAGUAUGUACUCCACUACUUCCUCUCUUUUUUCAGUUUAGCUAAACUUGUAUAGUUAGAAAAAAUGAAGCAAAUAAUAGAACGGAUUGGUUUCUCGACCAAUUGAUUCAAGCUCGAAUAGGAUCAAAUCUAAACUUGUCAAAACAUGUCUUCAAAAAUAAAAAAACAAUUAAAGAAAAAUUUAUAGUGAUGUGACAGGCAUUUAUUCCCAAGCAUAUGUUGCUAAGUUAUGUUAAUGGAGGCUUGAUAUAUCUAUACACUACAAUUAUGUCGUCUGCGAUCGUCUUAGUGGCCAUCCUAUAAAGAUGAAAACAAAUUCCAGGCAGGAGCUGAACAACAAUUUGAAGACACUAGCAAAUUCCAAAGUGAUUCCAUUCAAAAUAGGCACCUUUAUGAAGGAGUCAGGCGAGACCGGCCGUGGAGAACGGACGAACUCCCGCUUCUGCGCCGCAGCUGGGGGAGUUGUCGGCGCCGGAGCGUGAGAGAUCGUCACCGGUGGAUGAACAGACGAGCCGCAAGUUGGAGCAGAAGCUGGUCCGUGUGCUGAUGGUAGAGCUGCCUCUAGGCGAGUUGCUGCUGGCCACAUGUGCCGGACGAGACGCCGCCUGUCGCCGCCGCACCGCUCACCGCCACCUCCGCGCACGGCAGCGCUGCAUCUCCUCCCCAGCCGCCGAUCCCUCCGGCGCCGCGCCGCACCAUCACCAGAUCGCCGGUAACCCUAGCUAGCGCCGAAACCCUAGAUCCGCGGGGGCACGCACCUCGUCGGUGCCAUCCGAAACUCGCCUGAAACCCUCACCACCUAUACCCUCGAGCGAACCCGCCGCCGGGGGACAGGCAGGCGGAACCUCGGAAGCCCGAAUUUCUCACCCCCGAUCCGGCCGGCCCCCGAAUUGCGCGCGGAGUCGAGCCGGCGCCAAACUCGAGGGGGAUUCCGGGGUGGGGCCGGAGCAGCGGGAUGGGGUUUGACCGCGAUCCGAAGCAGGGAGCAGGGGAGAAACGGCGAUUUGGGGAUUGGGGGUCGGGGGCAGAGAUCGCGGCAGAGACGGCGCGCGAGGUCGAGAAGGGGAUGGAUGGAUUGAUGGAUGUCCUGGGGGGGCUCGAGAGUGGGAGGAGAGGAAAGCAGGGGCGUUUCCGUCAAUCCACACACUCAAACUCCCGGCAGCAGCCACAGGAGACUUUCCCCGUUGGGAACGGCGUGCGCGGUGCGCCACGCGAUCUUGACACUCUCUUCUUUUCCCUUCCGGCAAGUUGCGGCCAGUUUUGUGUUUUCCUUUUUUGAGCUGGGGGUGUGGUUGUUGCGUGUCGCUGCGGGUGGGGCCAGUGUUUUGACUUGGAGUAUUGUAUGGUGUGUAGGGCAGUGCAGUGCCAUUCUCACUGCUGCUGUUGUUUCAGGCUUUCCAGGAGCUGUUGUGCCGACAAGAUUGAUCAGCAUGGCUGAGCGUGCGUGCUGCCACGCGUUAACAUUGCUCGGAACCGACCAACUCGGAUUCAGCAGCAUGAUACGGCGAAUGGACGGAAGUGAAAAGAGGUGUGGGAAUGAAAAAAAUAAUGUUAAAAUCGAAAAGAAGAAAGAAAUUCGAGGAAAUUGAACCAUGGGCCAAUGAGGCGGACACUUCGGGCCGGCCCAAACUGCGGAUAACGUGGCGUUCGUCAGGCCCAGAUCCCAAGCAAGGUUGGUUCCAGAAUAGGCCCAAGGCCCAACCCAAAACCAUCUCCGUCCACUUCCCACGGUUCCUUUUGCCAGCCCGUGGGGGCCAGAUCCUAGGAAAGAAAGAAGGAAGCCGGCCUCUGCUGCUUUUCCGCGUGUUGUCGUCCUCGUGGCUCCCUUCCUUUCUCGUACGCUCUCCCUUCCUUUAUGGAACUUGCGCGUCCCGGGACCAACAUUAUUCCCGCACUACGGUUUAGAUCCCGAUCUCUUUACCCAUCACCGGCCAGCCAUGUGUGAUGGGUGGUGGUGCCCCCCGUUGGGUCAUCGUCGUACUGUACUAGAUCUCGCACCCCGAUUAAUUACUUUGUUGCAUGCAACCAUGCGGCCUGAUUUACUUUGUUUUCCUUUUCUUCGGGGUUCCGGUGGGUGCGCUGUCCCGGCCAAACGUGUGAUCUAUCUGCUCCUUGUGAGUUGUGACUCCCAGAAAGCCACUGAUGUGAUUGACAAAUGACGACGGGUUUUGCUUUCGCGAUUUAAUUUGGCAGCAGGAACUCGCAGUCACAUGCGCUGGCGAAGUUUGCAAGUGGGAUUUCGGAUUUUUCCUCGGCAGACAACCGUGGAAGAUCGAUCCGGGGUGUGUGCAGAGAAAACAAAGCCUACCUUUCUACUUGAGGACAUGAGGGCCCAGAUCCAGGCUCGACUACGAGACAUCCCUUUUUAUGCCCGGCACUGGGGAAGAAGAAGACGGCACGCUCCUGAAGCAUAAUUCGCCCCCGUGCACGCACGCAUGCAUGCCUCUGAAGCAGCAGUUCUAUAUAAAUGAUGGUAAUCAACUACGCGAAUUGGCACUUGCUGCUAGGUUUAUACCACUCUACCUGGUAAACCAGUGAUCAACCCCACUUGCCCACCUGCCAUGUCCCAUCCAUGACUCGAUAAUCAUGAGAACACGGCAGUAGUACAAGUCUUAGCGUACUCCUAUGUAAGUUUUGACGAAGACCAUCGUAUAUUCGUAUGAAUUUCUACUAGGCAUUUGAUAGAGAUAUGUUCCCUAAUCGAUUUCAUCAAUCAGAAAGAACCACACAGUGCUCGUUCGUGCCAUGAUAUAAAGAGUACGCUGAUGAUAUAAAUGGCGCAACAGUAGACCUGGCAGCUUCAGGAACUUCGCAAAAUAAAUAAAUGAAGAAUACUGGAAUCUACAGUAAACCUCUAUUGCUCCGGUAAUAAAAACCGCUGAAAUUAACAUUGCUAAGUAGUACUACUACUACCUCCAAACCAGCAGGAAAAAAUAUACAGAUGGAUGGAUGGAUGACGACGUUGAUGGAGAUGGAGACAGGGACUUUGGUUGGGUAGCUGGGCUGGCAGGCCUGCAACCGGCCGGGCGGGGGUAAGUGUAACUUUCAGCGGCGGCCGCUGUCGAGAGAGUGACGUGCAUUAACAACGAGAAAGAAGAGAAGGAAAAACAGAGACGACUGAUGGAGCCCAAGUCCAACGAGACAGGCAGCUGUGGAAAGCGACGGAAGACUCGACUACACUCGGCCCGGCCGCGGAAAGAAAGAGAUGUGCGGAGCAGACAGACAGGGCAGCCAGCGUCGCGUCACGGGCCGCACCACCACUGAGCGCGACUGUCUGCCUGUCGCCCUCCCCACUUUCUUCCCUUGCUUUCGUUUUCUUCCCAAACAAAUCGUCCCGUGCCCUGGAUAACGUGGCUCGAGGGGCACCCGUCCAUUCUGUCCUCUGGUCGAGCCCGUCCCAUCAAGCCCUUGUCCCGUCGCACACUACUCUGGUUUCCCUUCUUGCCCUGCUUGCUUGCUUUUCCCCCCGCCAGAAGGCUCUCCUGCUGCUGCUCGAUGGGGAUUUACAUACUUGCCUGGUUGGUCUGUUUUGGGAUCCUGCGGCAGUAACGACGAAAGCAACGCUCAGUUUAGUUAGUACACUCCUGUAGUUACCUCCAUGUGGAUCCGCCAUCGCCGUCACCCUCACCGUUCAGUUUUUUUAAAUAAAAUAAAAAGAAGGUAAAAAACGGAAGAAAAAAAGAAAAACGCUUCGGAUCGUCAAAAACCAUCCGCCGCUUUUAAUCUUGGCAGAGUUCCACCAAUUAGGCCUGCCCCUGCUACAUCAUCAGGCUAACCAUGCUCAUCGCAUGCGACAAAUUAAACACAGGACAAAUGGCAUAAGUUGCUGCCGAAUUAUGAAGACAUCGGCCUGUACAGAACAUGCAGCUGUCAACGCCAGAAAUGCUACAAUCGUUAAAGAGGGAGCAACAAGGUGCAAUUGCAGCAAAUUACAAAAUCGUAAGCAUAAUCCAAGAAAGGCUACAAUUUCGGCCCUCAGAAGGCAGUACCAGCUUAACUGAAUUCAAUAAGACGUUAACGACAGCAAAUUAUUACUUCCUGAUCUACAGAUGCAAUGCUUGCCGGGCAGAAUACAUAUCACAUCAAAGUCAUACUGCAAUUACAGCGGCUCCAGAAGUUGGAGGAAGCCCAAGGAGUAUGUUAAGCUGCAGAUGUGCUCGACCAUAUGAUAAUGAAACUGAAAACAAACCACCUGGACCUAAUUACAGCGGCUUCAGAAGUUGGAGUAAGCCCAAGGAACCAUUACCAUUCAAUCUCCAAAGCCUGGCAGAUACAAAACUCUAGCAAAGCAAGUGCUGAAGCCGAGGAAAACUGUUUCCAGGAAAGUAAGGUUAUGAUUAACAUUUACAGCAAUUACAGCGGAGUUUCAUUCCUCUCACGAUUCACAUCAUCACAGAGAUGAAUCCAUGUGUGAGUUGUAUAUCCUAGCACGGCAAUAUUGGUGAGAUGCAUCGCUUGACUUCCACAUGCAGCUACCUCUGCAAGUAAAACCACCGUUAACUAAUUAAUUAAAUUAAGAAGAAAAAAAUAAGCCGCACGAGAGAAAUUGAACGGUACUUUAAAGUCAGAGUGUAGGACAUACAGAGGCUCACCAAACACAUAUGUCGCUGCGAGAUCUCCACAAGGUUCUUACUGCCAUGAUAAUUGCUUGUAUGCUGAUCUUUCGGCAUCCCAACUACCUUCAGGUUCCUUCCUCUUUAUUCCUACACCUUGCAUUUGGUACAUUCUCGUUUGUUCCUCCACAAAGGCUUGUGGCGGU
rnacentral:lncRNA from 1 species